GACGUAGGGGGCAAGCGUUGUUCGGAAUUAUUGGGCGUAAAGAGCUCGUAGGCGGCCUGUUGCGUCCGCUGUGAAAGCCCGGGGCUUAACCCCGGGUCGGGCAGCUGGAUACGGGCAGGCUAGAGGUAGGUAGGGGAGAAUGGAAUUCCCGGUGGUAGCGGUGAAAUGCGUAGAGAUUAGGAAGAACACCAGUGGCGAAGGCGACUCUCUGGACUGUAACUGACACUGAGGCUCGAAAGCGUGGGGAGCAAACAGG
rnacentral:rRNA from 1 species